UUUUUACUCGUAUGGACCAAAUCAUCAAUGUUAAAAUUCUGAUGUCCACCUAAAAGUAACUGUAUGAAGCAAUCAUGAACUAGCCCAGUAAAUAGAUGCCUAUGAAUGCAAGCUUCUAAAUUCCAAUUGGUGUGAGCAGGUGCUUGUGCAGCCAAUAAUGGUUAUUCGCUCAGAAUUGUCGAUUGCUGCUGACCACUUCUCAGAUUUCUAUUAACCCGAGGACCAGAACAAGCAGGUUCAUGUGAAAGUAUAUAGUUUCUAUUUGAAGAGUUAGCUUCAGACAACAUACAAUCUAUGCAAAAUCCAUCAUCUCAUGCUUGCAUAACAAGACCAAUGGUCUCUGCUUGCUCAGUCCUCUUGCCGCGACACCAUCACCAAGUCACUUAGAGCCCACCACCGCCACAAACACCCCAUGUUGUCACGCGUGACGGCCGCAGCAUCACAACUUUAUGAGAAGUGAACUAUGAAAUCCCUCCUCAUUCCAAACAAUGAAACUAUGAGGCUGAAAGUACAAAUGUCAUACGACAUGGCUGACUUAGAGAAAAAAAUGGGCGUAUUUGGAGCCGGAUGAAAACAUGGGCAGAUUUGGAGCAGUGUGAAGACGGCGCACGCUGGUGUUGCAAUGACCAAAAGUGCCGAAGUGAAAAAAGAGAUGGAAUGACAAUGACGCAACCUUGUAGUGUGAUUCUUGUAUGUAUAUUUGAGGUCGGUAGGAAAAAACGUAUUAGUGAGAUAAAGUGACGAAGAUAUGCAUCUUAGGUGGAGAUGGAAGCAGAUCCCAGAGAUAAACAAAACAUUAUUAGUUUGUGAAUGAACUUGUGGUGGAAAGAAUGUUUUCAUGUUCAUAUGCCACAUUUUCUUACUA